rnacentral:misc_RNA from 1 species
CUUUUGGAAGCCAUAGUUGCAAAGAUGCUCUUGUUUCCUCAGGAGUUGAAGUUUUCUGGUUUGUGCUUGGCCGAGACACCCAUCCAAGCCGAUUGCAAAUGCGAUGCACAUGGGUAUCUACACAUAUUCCUUGAACAUUGUUCCAUGCAAUAUUCAUAACCAAAUGAGCCAUCUUAGGACCUAUCCCUGGAAGUGCUAGCAAGUCCUCCAAAGAGCUAGGUAUGUCUCCAUCAUACUUAAUGAGACAAAUUUUUGCAAUUUUCUUCAAAUUACUAGCUUUUCUG